UAGAGUUUGAUCAUGGCUCAGAAUCAACGCUGGCGGCGUGCCUCAGACAUGCAAGUCGAACGAUUAAAGCCCUCUUCGGAGGGUGUAUAAAGUGGCGCACGGGUGAGUAACACGUAAGUAAUCUACCCUCGGGUGGGGAAUAACAACCGGAAACGGUUGCUAAUACCGCAUAAUGCAGCGGCUCCUUAUGGAGACAGUUGUUAAAGGAUUUAUUCGCCUGAGGAGGAGCUUGCGGCAAAUUAGCUAGUUGGUAAGGUAAUGGCUUACCAAGGCUACGAUCUGUAGCCGGUCUAAGAGGACGGUCGGUCACACUGACACUGAAUAACGGGUCAGACUCCUACGGGAGGCAGCAGUCGGGAAUUUUGGGCAAUGGGCGAAAGCCUGACCCAGCAACGCCGCGUGAAGGAUGAAGUAUUUCGGUAUGUAAACUUCGAAAGAAUAGGAAGAAUUAAUGACGGUACUAUUUAUAAGGUCCGGCUAACUACGUGCCAGCAGCCGCGGUAAUACGUAGGGACCAAGCGUUGUUCGGAUUUACUGGGCGUAAAGGGCGCGUAGGCGGCAUGACAAGUCACUUGUGAAAUCUCUGGGCUUAACUCAGAACGGCCAAGUGAUACUGUCGCGCUAGAGUGCAGAAAGGGCAAUCGGAAUUCUUGGUGUAGCGGUGGAAUGCGUAGAUAUCAAGAGGAACACCUGAGGCGAAGGCGGGUUGCUAGGCUGACACUGAC
rnacentral:rRNA from 1 species